UAAUUAAUUGCUCAUUCAUGAAAGAAAAAGUAUAAGUGAGAGGCAAAAGUUAACCCCUCAAAAUAAAGUGUGUGGCUAACUGAACACCUAUCAGCUCCUCUGUGUUUAAACACAAUGGUCCUCUUUGUGCUGCAGGUUGUUUUGUUUUGAGGCCUGGUCGCAAUUGUUGAUGUCACUAUAUGUAUUUUGGAAAACAGACACAAGCAUGCAUCUAUAGAUUUAACUUUUUUCUCGGAGGAAGAACUUACUGGCUAUGGUACUAUAUUGUGAAAGCCAA
rnacentral:lncRNA from 10 species